GCAGAUGACAUAUUUUUUUCCAUUUCUUUCAUAUCUAAUAUUCAAUAUCUUUUGCGUAAAUGAAUAGUCAGGCCACCCAACAUGGCUGUCUCCCGCCGGACCAGUGCCUGCUUCACCUACACCCUGCUCCUGAUUAACCUUGCUAAGCACUUGCCCCCAGGCCCCAGCUGAUGAUUGUUCUCAUCAAAGGGGAGGGGAGGGGCAUGCCCCUGGUAGCUAAUAAGCCCACCUGGUGUCAAUUCCUCCUAUAACCGCAACCUCUGGAGAGAGAGAAGACGGCCGCCAUGUCCUGCUUGCUCUCUGCUGCACACAGUGGGGUGUUGCUUCAGGACCUUGCUUCAGACACACUCGAGAGAAACAAGGAAUGAUGUGGCUAGCACGGAGGCAUCAGGGACACUCAGGACACCUCUGUGUUCUGAAAUGCACUCUGCACUGCAGCAUCAUGAAAGAAAAAUUGAAACAGUGUGGAGAGAUGGAGAACAACAAACUGGGGAAUAAGUUCAACGUUCCCUGCAUUUAUGAUUCUAACUGAUCCAGUGUGUACAGACAAUUCACCGCACAACAGUUCCAGCCCUCUCUGAAGCCCCUACUUUUUGUCUCUGAAAGGAGGCUGCAGUAUUUAGUGGCAUCUGUGUGCUAAAAAGGAGUUUGCCUGAGACGAUCU